rnacentral:tRNA from 1 species
CGGAUGGUGAGGGACUUGAACCCCCAUCGGUUUUACCCUACGUCUGCUUUCAAGGCAGGUCUCUUACCAAUUAGAGUAACCAUCC